rnacentral:rRNA from 1 species
UACGUAGGGCGCAAGCGUUGUCCGGAAUUAUUGGGCGUAAAGAGCUCGUAGGCGGCCUGUUACGUCUGCUGUGAAAUCCCGGGGCUUAACCCCGGGCGUGCAGUGGAUACGGGCAGGCUGGAGGCAGGCAGGGGAGAACGGAAUUCCCGGUGUAGCGGUGAAAUGCGCAGAUAUCGGGAGGAACACCGGUGGCGAAGGCGGUUCUCUGGGCCUGUACUGACACUGAGGCACGAAAGCGUGGGGAGCAAACAGG